rnacentral:rRNA from 1 species
GACGAACGCUGGCGGUGUGCUUAACACAUGCAAGUCGAACGGUAAGGCCCUUUCGGGGGUACACGAGUGGCGAACGGGUGAGUAACACGUGAGUAACCUGCCCUCAUCUCUGGGAUAACAGUCGGAAACGGUUGCUAAUACUGGAUAUGAGCUUGCAAGGCAUCUUGUGGGUUGGAAAGAUUUUUUUUGGUUGGGGAUGGACUCGCGGCCUAUCAGCUUGUUGGUGAGGUAGUGGCUCACCAAGGCUUCGACGGGUAGCCGGCCUGAGAGGGCGACCGGCCACAUUGGGACUGAGAUACGGCCCAAACUCCGACGGGAGGCAGCAGUGGGGAAUAUUGCACAAUGGACGGAAGUCUGAUGCAGCAACGCCGCGUGCGGGAUGAAGGCCUUCGGGUUGUAAACCGCUUUCAAUUGUGACGAAGCUUUUUUGUGACGGUAGCAGUAGAAGAAGCACCGGCUAACUACGUG